GACGAACGCUGGCGGCGUGCUUAACACAUGCAAGUCGAACGAUGAAGCCGGAGCUUGCUCUGGUGAAUUAGUGGCGAACGGGUGAGUAACACGUGAGUAACCUGCCCUUGACUCUGGGAUAACUGCUAGAAAUGGUAGCUAAUACCGGAUACGACCCUCGGAGGCAUCUCCAGGGGGUGGAAAGAAUUUCGGUCAAGGAUGGACUCGCGGCCUAUCAGCUAGGUGGUGAGGUAACGGCUCACCAAGGCGACGACGGGUAGCCGGCCUGAGAGGGUGACCGGCCCCACUGGGACUGAGACACGGCCCAGACUCCUACGGGAGGCAGCGGUGGGGAAUAUUGCACAAUGGGCGCAAGCCUGAUGCAGCAACGCCGCGUGAGGGAUGACGGCCUUCGGGUUGUAAACCUCUUUUAGUAGGGAAGAAGCGAAAGUGACGGUACCUGCAGAAAAAGCACCGGCUAACUACGUGCCAGCCGCCGCCGUAA
rnacentral:rRNA from 1 species